AUAGCUGUUGUUCCUGGAUGGAUCUGAAGCUCCUUUGUGCCACUGCUGAGUUGGAAGGUGCUGAUGGAGUGGAGGGAACGGACUGGCCGGGCUUUGGCAAUCUGGCCCCUCGAAAGACUGAAGUGACCUCUUCCAGCAGGGGAAGACUGAAGCAAGCGGUGCCAGGAAGAACUGGAGUUUCUGGAGAAUAAAAGCUGGAAGCGUGCCCCUGAAAAUCCCCAGCCCUGGGUGGUCAGUGGUCUGACUUGCACGGACCGGUGGCCUUGGCCAGGAGCGGUCCUGCGGGAAGCGCCUUUGCCCAGGCUGUAAUUUUAAUUUCCCUUGGAUGCUUGGCAAAGCCCCUCUGGGUGAGCCCCAGUGCCUGGCAGGAGCAGAGCGGGCUUCCAGGGAGGUAUUCACCUGGUCAGCGUCAGGAACCAUCCUACCUGAGGCCUCGGCUCCCUCUUUCCCUUCGGUCGCCGUGGGACGCCUCUGGCAGGACUAACCCUGUGGCUUUUAUGUCCAACGUGCUGUGCUGUGUGUGCCUGCAGGUAAGAAAAGCUGGGAGUGCAGUCCCUCUGCUUUGGUUGCUGUGUCUCUUUGGGAGUGAUUUUGGAGGGGAAUCCCAGAGCGAUUUGGUUUGAAGGGGACCUUCAAAGGCCAGCCUGUCUUCCGUGGGCAGGGACCCCUUCCACUGUCCCCGGUUGCUGCGAGUCCCGUCCAGCCUGGCCUGGAACACUUGCAGGGAUGGGGCAGGCUCAGCUUCCCUGUGCAGUGUGCUCUAAUAGCUCUCCACUGGCAUCGUGAAAAAUGUUGUCAGCGUGUUUUGUUGGACGACGGUGAGCAGGACCUGGGUGAAAAGGACAUUCUCUGAGGUGCUGGGAGAAGGAGGACUCGUGCGGGCACCUCCAGAGACAGCGGGAACGGG
rnacentral:lncRNA from 1 species